AUCAGCUGAGCACUGACAAACUCAUAGCCGGAAAUCAGACCAGCUCACCUGUAUGUUGUUAUUGUUCCAAGAUAGGUGUUAGACUUGUAAAAACGUGUUUAGACUCUAUAAAAUGCUUGUAAGUUGCUGCAUGCAUUAAUUUUUCUUGUAAUGUCUGUGUUCCAUGCUAUAAGGUUAUAUGUAAGUUUUGCUUUAUAACUGUAAAAAUGCCUGCUCUGAACUUGUGUACCCAGGCAGGAAGAGUGGUUCCCCUACCCAUCAAGAAGGACUGUCAAAACUACAGUGGUGCACCCGUAGGAACACACAUCUUGAAGAACCAUUGUUACUGCACAAGUCAGGGACCAUAGGAUGCACAGAGGCAUAUGCCUGGGAGAGACUGAAACCAAUGGGGUAUGAUUCUAAUCCCACAAACUGAGUACUGAAGAGAACAGGGUGUGGCAAACCCAAACUGUGAUGAAAAUGGUCAGAUCCCUCAAACUGACCUGGUGUUACCCCAGGACAGGGGAAUAGAACCACCAGCGUUAAGAAGGUACAAGAAGAAAGAGCUCCAGGAAGAAAUCACAGCCAGUGUGGAACAGGCUGUCCAGCAGCGUCUAUGAUUUGGGGGGGCGUGUCAUAAAUAUACACAGGGCAGCUAUACUGAAUUGCAACUAAUCAGUGUGUACCACCUGUUAAUCUUAGAGAUGAUUAUGUUAUUGGUUCUAUGCAUUGUUUUAAUUAAUCUUACAAUGUACAAUAUAAAGAAGUGAAAAUAGAAUAUUAAAUAAAUGUUCUUCUGUUAAUUGUUAA